CCCCGAGCUGCUCGCCCGCAACGGCGUCAAGUUCGGCGAGGCCGUCUGGUUCAAGGCCGGCUCCCAGAUCUUUAGCGAGGGCGGCCUCGACUACCUCGGCAACCCCAGCCUUAUCCAUGCGCAGAGCAUCCUCGCCAUCUGGGCCUGCCAGGUCGUGCUCAUGGGCGCCGUCGAGGGCUACCGCAUUGCCGGCGGCCCACUCGGCGAGGUCGUCGACCCGCUCUACCCCGGCGGCAGCUUCGACCCCCUCGGCCUGGCCGACGACCCUGAGGCCUUCGCCGAGCUCAAGGUCAAGGAGCUCAAGAAUGGCCGCCUCGCCAUGUUCUCCAUGUUCGGAUUCUUCGUCCAGGCCAUCGUCACCGGCAAGGGCCCGCUCGAGAACCUGGCCGACCACCUCGCCGACCCAGUCAACAACAACGCCUGGGCCUACGCCACCAACUUCGUCCCCGGCAACUAAGCUCGCCAUUCGCCUCUGCAACUCCAUUGUCUUCCGGCCGGGAGGGGCGUACGUGGAUUGGUUGAUGCUGCAAGCGAGCUGCCGC
rnacentral:lncRNA from 1 species